CAUAUACUCCCUCUGUUCGGAAUUACUUGUCUCGAAAAUGAAUGUAUCCAGAACUAAAAUACGUCUAGAUACAUUCAUUUCUAUGACAAGUAAUUCCGAAUGGACGGAGUAGAUA
rfam:Triticum aestivum genome assembly, contig: Triticum_aestivum_CS42_TGACv1_scaffold_542591_6DS